rnacentral:rRNA from 1 species
AGAGCGAACGCUGGCGGCAGGCCUAACACAUGCAAGUCGAGCGCCCGUAGCAAUACGGGAGCGGCAGACGGGAUAGUAACACGUGGGAACGCGCCCUUCGGUUCGGAAUAACUCAGGGAAACUUGAGCUAAUACCGGGUACGCCCUUACGGGGAAAGAUUUAUUGCCGAAGGAACGGCCCGCGUCCGAUUAGCUAGUUGGUGAGGUAAUGGCUCACCAAGGCGACGAUCGGUAGCUGGUCUGAGAGGAUGACCAGCAUCACUGGGACUGAGACACGGCCCAGACUCCUACGGGAGGCAGCAGUGGGGAAUAUUGGACAAUGGGCGCAAGCCUGAUCCAGCCAUGCCGCGUGGAUGAUGAAGGCCUUAGGGUUGUAAAGUCCUUUUAACGGGGAGAUAAUGACGGUACCGUAGAAUAAGCCCGGCUAACUUCGCGCCAGCAGCCGC